GAUGAAGAACUCAGCGAAAUGCGAUACGUAAUGUGAAUUGCAGAAUUCAGUGAAUCAUCGAAUCUUUGAACGCAUAUUGCGCUCUUUGGUAUUCCGAAGAGCAUGCUUGUUUGAGUAUCAGUAAACACCUCAACCUCUUCUUGAUUUUUCAAAAGGAGGGUGGACUUGAGCUAUCCCAACAACCUUUACCGGUCGGCGGGCGGCUUGAAAUGCAGGUGCAGCUGGACUUUUAUCUGAGCUAAAAGCAUAUCUAUUUAGUCCUCGUCAAACAGGAUUAUUACUUUUGCUGCAGCUAACAUAAAGGAUAAUUGUCCUCUUUGCUGACUGAUGCAGGAUUUUACGACACUUUAUGUGUUGUUCAACUCGAUCUCAAAUCAAGUAAGACUACCCGCUGAACUUAAGCAUAUCAAUAAGCGGAGGA
rnacentral:misc_RNA from 1 species